rnacentral:rRNA from 1 species
UACGUAGGGUCCGAGCGUUGUCCGGAAUUACUGGGCGUAAAGAGCUCGUAGGUGGUUUGUCGCGUUGUUCGUGAAAACUCACAGCUCAACUGUGGGCGUGCGGGCGAUACGGGCAGACGUAGAGUACUGCAGGGGAGACUGGAAUCCUGGUGUAGCGGUGGAAUGCGCAGAUAUCAGGAGGAACACCGGUGGCGAAGGCGGGUCUCUGGGCAGUAACUGACGCUGGAGGAGCGAAAGCGUGGGGAGCGAACAGG